rnacentral:rRNA from 1 species
UAAUACGAAGGGGGCUAGCGUUGCUCGGAAUUACUGGGCGUAAAGGGCGCGUAGGCGGAUCGUUAAGUCAGAGGUGAAAUCCCAGGGCUCAACCCUGGAACUGCCUUUGAUACUGGCGAUCUUGAGUAUGAGAGAGGUAUGUGGAACUCCGAGUGUAGAGGUGAAAUUCGUAGAUAUUCGGAAGAACACCAGUGGCGAAGGCGACAUACUGGCUCAUUACUGACGCUGAGGCGCGAAAGCGUGGGGAGCAAACAGG